UACGUAGGUGGCAAGCGUUAUCCGGAUUUAUUGGGUGUAAAGGGCGUGUAGGCGGGAAUGCAAGUCAGAUGUGAAAACUCAGGGCUCAACCCUGAGCCUGCAUUUGAAACUGUGUUUCUUGAGUGCUGGAGAGGCAAUCGGAAUUCCGUGUGUAGCGGUGAAAUGCGUAGAUAUACGGAGGAACACCAGUGGCGAAGGCGGAUUGCUGGACAGUAACUGACGCUGAGGCGCGAAAGCGUGGGGAGCAAACAGG
rnacentral:rRNA from 1 species